rnacentral:rRNA from 1 species
ACUCCUACGGGAGGCAGCAGUGGGGAAUAUUGCACAAUGGGCGCAAGCCUGAUGCAGCCAUGCUGCGUGUAUGAAGAAGGCCUUCGGGUUGUAAAGUACUUUCAGCGGGGAGGAAGGCGAUAAGGUUAAUAACCUUGUUGAUUGACGUUACCCGCAGAAGAAGCACCGGCUAACUCCGUGCCAGCAGCCGCGGUAAUACGGAGGGUGCAAGCGUUAAUCGGAAUUACUGGGCGUAAAGCGCACGCAGGCGGUCUGUCAAGUCGGAUGUGAAAUCCCCGGGCUCAACCUGGGAACUGCAUUCGAAACUGGCAGGCUAGAGUCUUGUAGAGGGGGGUAGAAUUCCAGGUGUAGCGGUGAAAUGCGUAGAGAUCUGGAGGAAUACCGGUGGCGAAGGCGGCCCCCUGGACAAAGACUGACGCUCAGGUGCGAAAGCGUGGGGAGCAAACAGGAUUAGAUACCCCUGUAGUCCCAUGA